rnacentral:ncRNA from 1 species
CUCUUAUCGAGAGUGGCGGAGGGACUGGCCCGAUGAAGCCCGGCAACCAGAGGCGCGGUGGCGCCUCCAGGUGCCAAAUCCUGCAGGGGCAUGCCCCUGAGAGAUGAGAG